rnacentral:pre_miRNA from 1 species
AAAAAAGAAAACCCUGGGUUUUCAUGUCUAAUUUUGAUUGUCUGUCUUAUAUGAAAUUUUUUUUAUAAUUCGUAUUUUCAUUGUUGCUAGAUGAUAAAACAUGAUUAAUAUUUUAUGCGCGACUUGUCUUUUUAAUUUUUUUUAUAAUUUGUUCAAAUAAGAUGAAAACGUUCGGUACGGAAACC